GGUCCCUUAGGCCGGUGUGGGCGGUGGCGCGCGGCCCGGGGUCGCACCUGCGGUUUGGCGGCGUCGGUUGUAGGCUCUUGACCAGGAAUCCUGCCCAGGCACGUGGUCUUGGCAAAGCAGCCGCACUCGUCGCUAGGGUGUGCUGGGCCGCAGGCGAGGCCUCAGAGUAGACUUGAGAGAGUACAAAGGAGGGCAUAGGGAGAGAAGCAGACUCCCUGCCGAGUGAGGAGCCCAACAGGAGGUUCAAUUCUAUGACCCUGAGAUCCUGACCUGAGCUGAAACCAAGAGUCAGAGACUUAACAGACUGAGCUACCCAGGUGCCCCAUAUAUGUACGUUUCUAUUAGAAUCUCUAAACAUAAAACAACCUGACACACACAGAGAGAUGCUAAGAAGAGACGCUGAGAAAACUUUAGAAGGCUCCAGGUGCCGAUCCGGCAGCCCAAGUGCAGCUCUGCGCCCCCAGAGAUGCAGAGAAGCAGAAAGUAGAGAAGGUACUGGUCUACAUAGUAAUGACUGAGGAAUAGCAUCACUGGCCCCUUCCUGAUACUCCUCAUAUCUAACUGAUACAGUGCCUGAUGUCCUGGCUAUACAGUCACUCCUUUGAGCUCUUUCCUUCUAAUCCACUUUUUAAAGUACAUUAAGAAAUACAUUAACAAAUGCUCUUACAAUGAAUACAUGUAUUCAUUGUGUAUUAGAGAAAUGAGAGAUAUGGAACAAGGAGAGGCUUUUUUAUAAAGGCAGAUUUAAGGGUUUGUGGCAAAUUUUCCUCUUUUCUAAUAUUAACUAUAAAUAGUAUUAACAGUUUUAAACAUUAGAUAAUAUGAUCAUUUUCAUUGUCAAAGAAAUGUCUUAUAUGGGAAAUUCUUACUUUAUUUCUGUCCAAGUCUAAUCUCCCUUGAAAAAGGUCAUUAAGAGCAAUUUUUCCUUCCAGGCGUUUCAAGGGUCUUUUUUGUUCCCUAUACCUUUCUUGCAUUUGGGAUGAUUCUUCGGCGGCUUCUUCAGAGUGAUGCUGCAGCUGCUCCAGGCACUUUGUGAGCCUCAGAAUUUUCUGCUGCAGGCUUUCCAUCCUCUGUAGGGAGAAAGGAUAGAUACAACUCCUGAUGGCCCAUGAUUCCUAUUUUGUUUCAAAGCUAUGUGCAAGUUCUACUGACACUGACACUGUAGCAACAUUACAUUAAAAACUAGGUAAAUGGGGGAAGACUUUUAAGAUUUGACAUGUAUCAGCUGAUUUUAGAAAAAGAUAUGGAGGGGCAUCUGAGUAGCUCAGUUGGUUAAGUGUCUGCCUUCCACUCAGGUCACCAUCUUGGGGUCCUGAGAUUGAGCCCUGCAUCUGGCACCUUGCUCAUUGGGGAGCCUGCUUCUCCCUCUCACUCUGCCUGCCAUCCCCUUGCUUCUCUCUCUCUGUCAAAUAAAUAAAAAUAUAUUUUUAAAAAGAAAAAGAAAUGGAAAGUUUUGAUAUACAAAAUGAGACAUUUAGUCAUUACUGAGAAAUCAAAUUGUAUAAUGAAUUUUAAGCAAAAAGUGAAAGAAAAAUUAGAACUCUGUAAUAAAUAGACUGUAGCAGAUUUGACUAACACAUUGAAUCUAAGCAAUACCUAUCUUUAUUUAAAUUUGGGGGUGAAGAGGCAUGACAUUUUACUAAAAUGAUUUGGACACAACAAGGAGAUACAUCCAUUGAAACUUCCUGGUGCAAUCUUUUAAAUUCAAAUAAAUAACUGAUCUAAUGAUGUAUUUUACUGACCUGGCCAGUAUUUAGGCAUGAUAGACAUAUUAUCUUCACCAUACCACUAUUUUUAAGCCAGGAUUCACAGAGCUUACACUGAAGUGAACUAAGCAUUUAUCAUGUAUUAAUCCAUUUAAUCCUUACCACUCUGUGAGAUAAGAACUAUCUAUGCCAUUCCAGCCCCCAACCCCAUUCCACUAUCACCAAAUUCUACAAAUGAAAUUGAGGCCCAGAGAGGAUAAGUGAUCUGCCCAAGAGCACACAGCUGGCCAUGGCUGAGCUGGGAUUCAUACUUGGGCUAUCUGCUCUUAACAAAUAUAAUACACUACCUCUGCUGUAAUAAUUGACAUCCUUUUCCUUUUUAUCACUGUAGUAUUAAAAAUAAAAUCAAAGUUAAAAUUCAGAGCCACAGAAUUUACAUCAGCUAGUAUCAAAACCGAUGCAUUAAAAAUAAUCGACAUGUUAAAAGAAACAAAUUUGAAAGAAUGACUUCUCUGUCAAUACACCUACAGACUUCCAAGACCGCUCAUUUGCACCAAUUUCCUGAAUCCUCUCUUUCACAGCUUCCUCCGUGGCUGGUAUGGGUACAAUACUGUUGCUCAGAAGAGUAGCCAACUGACUGAUGAAUUUCUGGUAGUGGGAUUGUGUAGUUUUAGUUUCCCAGCUGAAUGAAUAUGGAGGUCUGUCCAACUCAUAUUUUUGUUUUUCCUUAUGGGUUGAAUCUUGAUGACACUUAUCCCAAAUUUUCUGCCCAUCUUUUGGUCCUUCAGAGUAGAAAAUGUCUCUCUCAAAGUUCUUGGUCAGGAUAGCUUCACUUUUAUCCUAAAUAUGCCAACACACAGGUUAAACUUCCCAUUUAGAAUUUAAUACGGAGACAUUUACUUCCUUUUUUUGAAAUAUAAAUAUAGUCAUAAUACAAAACUUUAGGAGCAAAGCCCUUAAAAGAAAUAAAAGAGUUGUGGAGUCAUAAGAGAGACAAGGCCAUACUCAAAAGAGAAAACUAAAACAUCAGAGAUAUUAAAAUGACAGUAUGGAGAAAAUGUUUUGAAAACAUAGGAAAUUCAGCUUGGAAAAGCAGAUAAUCAAAGAGCCUCAGUUUAUGAAGUUAUACUCUUUACAGAAAAUUUUGAGCUAAUAAAUGUAGAAAGAAUAACAGGAAUUUUAAAAAUCAGCAUUUUACACCUAAUGAAAUAACUGAAUCGGGCAAAGACCAUCAAUGAAUGUUAAGACAAUUAAAUGAAAAAUUGGGAGGGAAAUGGUUAUUUCCAUAAAGACUUCAUUAUGAUUAUAGAACAUUACUAGUAACAAUUUUGAUAAAGUAAAAGUAUAAAUGAAAGAAGUCUCAUUUUCCCCCCCAAUCUUUCCCUUGCUUCCAUAAUCAUCCUGCUUCCAUUUUGUAAAUAGCUGGUAGGGGGAGGAUGAUGCUUAUACUUCUUCCCUGAACUCCCACACAUUCUACCUUUAUAAAUUCUAGUCUUCUUUCCACCUUCUUGAUACUUUCAACUCUGGAAGCUGAGUAAAUAGGUUCAGUUUCUGGGCUUUAUGUCAUGUUAAACAGAAAUAGAGACUAGAACUGUUGAAGUAAUGAUGGGUUUGCAUCACUACUGAAGCUAGAAUAAAAAAGGCAAUGGGAGAAAAGGUCAGAGUUCCAUGGAUGCUGGUUUGGGAGAGUUUUUCAGGAGUGUGACAUUCCUGAGAGAAGUGAAAAAAACUGGGAAGUGUUACUGUGAAUUACUUGAGAGGGACAUUCAAAAUUGGAAUUACUUAAAACUACUUUGAAAGUAGCUCCUGAAUUUUUUUAAAUGGAAACCCUCAGAUUAAUUGGAUUUUGGUGGACCUUGUUUUACAUUCAGAUUAUAUAAUAACCUGUUAAAGUCUAAGGAUUUCAAAAUAAACUUUCGCCACUUCCUUGGCAAUAGAGUGGUUCCCAACCUCCUCCAACAUUCUUCUCUGAAGUCUCUACUCAUCCUGUGAAUUGCUAUCUACUAGUGACCAAGCUCAUCUCUUCUUUCUAAACCCAACUCACACCAUAAUUCUAGAUUUCAAGGUCCAGUGUAGAUGAUCCACGAAUUUAGCUUUGUGAUUUCUGUGCCUUGGUUUCAAUACUUUUGCCUACAUCUCUCUUCAACCCUUAUAUUCAGAGCCCAAAACCCAGAUGUCAGCAGAAGGAAGUAACCCACGCUAGAAAUGUAAAACCCCAAUAUUUCGUUCUUUAACCACCAUCUCUCCUCCUCCCACUUCUCUCUCAGUUCUGUUCCCUCUAAUGGUCCUUCAGUAUCACAGAGACCUUAGGGCUGCCUUGUGCUUUUUCUCUGUACUUCAGAAAGGCUUUCCAGCAACCAUACUGCACUGCUUCCUCUGACCUUCCAUAAGAAGCAGAUCAACAGGGCAGCGUGGGUGGCUCAGCGGUUUAGCGCCGCCUUCAGCCCAGGGCCUGAUCUUGGAAACCUGGGAUCGAGUCCCACGUCGGGCUCCCUGCAUGGAGCCUGCUUCUCCCUCUGCCUCUCUCUCUCUGUGUGUGUGUGUCUCUCAUGAAUAAAUAAAUAAAAUAUUUAAAAAAAACAGAUCAACAAACUACUCAACAUUUGCCAAUUAUCUCUUGGAGUAACACAAGAUAAUAAAAAUCUUGUUUUAUUAUAAUAAAUACAUUAUUCAUAUUAUAUACUAUAUGUAUAAUUUAUAUGAAAUAUACGAUAUAUAAUAAAUAUAUGAAUAAUUUUAUAAUAAAUAUAGCAAUAUAUUAGAUAUAAUAAACAAUAAUUUUUUAUUUUAUUAAAAUAAAUGAUGUAUUAUUAUGGUAAUAAAAAUCAAUCAAAAUUUAUUCUCACCUUCAUCAGGAAACUAUCCAAGGGAUCUUCUUGCCCUUUCAUAUUCAUAUAAGGGGUGCAUCCAUCAGUACCUGCUAAGUUUUUCUUCAAAAGGCUUGCUUUUCGUUCUGCCUUUUCUUUUUCAAACAGAUGUACUCUGUGUAAGAUAUCGGUAGGUAACAACAUCAUGAAACCAACUUAGUUUUCAAACUUCAAUUAAAAAUAAUUAAAAGAAAUAAUCCCCAUUUAAAAUAUAUUAAAUACAUGUAUCGAGUAGAAGGGUACUUCCUAUGAAAAGGGCAGUGUAAUUACCCAACUAUUUCUAGAGAGAGACUAGAAACGGCAGAGAAAUGGAGAGAAAAAUAAUCCAGUGCUAGGUCCUCUAGUAUUUUCCCUGGGGAAGGUCAAUUUAAACCAUCCUUUUCAAGAGGAAGUUUGAGCAUGAAUAUCUGCCUGCCACUAUUAAUAAUAAUGUGAUCUGCCUGCCACUAGUAACAUUGUGAUGAUCAGGAAGUUCCACAGGGAUACAAGCACUCCUAUUUUAAUAACACCUGAUGGGUCUUCCACUGGGAUUUGAUGAGAGAAAAGGGAAUUAGAAUAAUGAUACAGCAAUAGAGAAUAGCAUAUUUAAAAACUUGUUUUAUCAAAUACACAAAUAAUUAUUUGGUUCUUGUUUUGAUUAUUAAUUGCUAGGUAUUGUAAUAUUUCUAUCCUGUACCCAUAUCUAAUUUUUUUUAAUUUUUUUAAAAUUUUUAUUUA